AGAAUAAGGGCAUUGAACUGAAGAUUCAGAUAUAAAGUGUUUUUCAACUUCUACUAAAA
rnacentral:tRNA from 1 species